CACACAUUCAUUCAGGUUACAGACCAUGUUAUGUAAUUAGACCUAGGACCCCUAGACAUAAUGAGUCUGGUUACAGACCAUGUAAUUAGGCCUAGGACCCCUAGACAUAAUGAGUCUGGUUACAGACCAUGUAAUUAGACCUAGGACCCCUAGACAUAACGAGUCUGGUUACAGACCAUGUAAUUAGGCCUAGGACCCCUAGACAUAAUGAGUCUGGUUACAGACCAUGUAAUUAGACCUAGGACCCCUAGACAUAACGAGUCUGGUUACAGACCAUGUAAUUAGGCCUAGGACCCCUAGACAUAACGAGUCUGGUUACAGACCAUGUAAUUAGACCUAGGACCCCUAGACAUAAUGAGUCUGGUUACAGACCAUGUAAUUAGACCUAGGACCCCUAGACAUAAUGAGUCUGGUUACAGACCAUGUAAUUAGACCUAGGACCCCUAGACAUAACGAGUCUGGUUACAGACCAUGUAAUUAGGCCUAGGACCCCUAGACAUAAC